rnacentral:rRNA from 1 species
GACGAACGCUGGCGGCGUGCUUAACACAUGCAAGUCGAACGGAAAGGCCUCUUUCGGGGGGUACUCGAGUGGCGAACGGGUGAGUAACACGUGAGUAACCUGCCCUUGACUUUGGGAUAACUUCAGGAAACUGGGGCUAAUACCGGAUAGGAGCUCCUGCUGCAUGGUGGGGGUUGGAAAGUUUCGGCGGUUGGGGAUGGACUCGCGGCUUAUCAGCUUGUUGGUGGGGUAGUGGCUUACCCAGGCUUUGACGGGUAGCCGGCCUGAGAGGGUGACCGGCCACAUUGGGACUGAGAUACGGCCCAGACUCCUACGGGAGGCAGCAGUGGGGAAUAUUGCACAAUGGGUGGAAGCCUGAUGCAGCAACGCCGUGUGCGGGAUGACGGCCUUCGGGUUGGAAACCGCUUUCGCUCAUGACGAAGCUUUGUGUGACGGUAGUGGGUAAAGAAGCACCGGCUAACUACGUG